rnacentral:sRNA from 1 species
GCUAUAGAAUCAGGGGACACAACAUCAGCUAACUAUACAGGAAGGAGCUGAUACCAUUGCCCAAUACAAGAUGAGCAGAAGUUACAGGUUGAUAACUAAAUAAUUAUGUGAGAAAUGGCAUUAGCAUUCAGACACCAGCUUUGAUAAUACCAAUUCUGAGACAGGAAAACAAAGUAAAGAAAUAUUCAAUGUCAUUGUUACUUUUGUAUAUGUUUAUUGAAAUAAGAAAAUCUACAAAGUUAACAGAUAAGUAUAUUUUGUUGUGAUAUAAAAUAAUAUUCUAAAAAGAAAAAAAAUAUGUCCAAAUAAUGUUUUUUUCCCAGUAAUAGUCUCAAUAGACCAACUUGUUCAGGCUAAAAAAUUUUUUUAGACUUUUCAGUUGUUGAUUGCUAUUUACGUUUGAAAAUUCAUCGUUCCCUAAACAAAUUUGAUAUUAAAUAUUGAACAUUGUG